AUGGUCCUCCUCCGCUACGGCGUCACCUACCUCAUCCAGCAUCCACCACCACCCAACGCCGACAGCCACUACCAUGAGCUUGACACCCAUGUCGUCCUCGCCAUCUAUGCCACCCUUACCGAUCAGAUCAUCGACCAUGUGAUCGGCGCCACCACCACCUAUGCCCUCUGGACUCGGAUCCAGGAGUACUUCCUUGCCAAUCGUGUAGCCCGAUACAUGAUCCUCAAUCGGCAGUACCGCAACCUCAAGCAGGGUGACCUUUUCGUCGACGAGUACGCGCGCCGUAUGAAGCUCAUCACCGCCGGCCUCGCGGACAUUGAUCAUGCCGUGACCGAGGUCGACCUCACCUUGCAGUUUCUCCACAGCCUCGACGGGCGCUUCGACACCAUCCGUGUGGUUCUGGGGGACACCGUUCCCUUGCCACCCUUCGAGACGGUCUUCUCGCGCAUCAAACUCGCCGAGGAGAACCAGGCUCAGCGCGCCUCCGACGCCAGCGCCUCUGUGAUCGCCGUCCACGGGAGCGGCGGCACACCCGACACCGGCAGCUCCUCCGGGCCCCCAAACUUCCCCAACACCGGCGGCUCUGGCCACCGCUCCGGUGAGCGCGCGGAUCGGCCCUCGGAUUGGGCUCCCAACCAGCAGCACGGCCGUGGCAACGGCCCCUCUCGUCAGGCGAAGGUGGUGAUCGCGGCCGCGGGCGCGGCCAUGGGUGCGGUCGUGGGUGCGGCGACUCGGGCGGUCGUGGUCAUGCCCUGCCGGCCUACAACCCAUACAUGGGUUUCUUCGCCCCCUAUGGCAUGGCAAUCCCUCCUCCACGCCCCGGCUGGGUUCCUCCCAACUCCGCGGGCGUGCUUGGGCCACGUCAUGGAUCCCACGCCCACGCCUAUCUGA
rnacentral:rRNA from 1 species